UUAUAAAUCAAAGUGGGUCUCAUUUUCAAAAAAAUUUAGAAUAUAUUAGUAUGACGGCGGAAUUAUUAACUCUUGACUGCCAAAAGGAAUGUUUGAACUCGAAGCCCAAACAGAAACAGCUAUUUCCUUAGGUGAGACUCUAUUUUGACCCAGUCUUCACUCUUCACAAAAGCCCUUUUCUUGUUCCUCCGUUUCCGACGACAAGCCAUGGAAAUUAACCGGGAAAAAGAAAGUACUCAAAAGCAGAAAUAUAUCAAGAUUCCAUACAUUCUCUUUUCUUUUUAUUUUCCUCUUUUUCCCAGCCAUCCAAACGGACCGCCAACUCCUCAAACUAAUCAGGAAUCGCAUAUAAGUCGCUGCUACGGAGCUUGACGAGUUCUCUCGUAGUUGGUAUACGGUUUACUAAUUACUUGUGACUUUUGCUCAACGGGUUAAGGCAGAUUACAAUUUCCUAAGACUGUUUUUCCAGGUAUGAGGCUAGCUUGGCCACAUGUAGAGAUAGUACAUGCAGCCUAAUUUAUUUAUUUAUCCAUUUGUUUCUGAGGACUUAUAGAAAACAGAUUAAUUUAAGUCCAUUAAGUUCUGUGCUACGCUCUUAAAGUUGACUUUAGACUAGAUUCCUCUAAUCAAAUAUUUUAAGAUAUAAUAUAGGGAACCAAAAAGAGAAAAAAAAAGGCAUUGGGGCAUUCCGAGAAUCGAACUCGGGACCUCUCGCACCCAAAGCGAGAAUCAUACCACUAGACCAAAUGCCCAAUUUUUUAUUUGCAUCAUGUCUGGUUUAUAGUUAUUAGAUCUUUUUCUCCAAGUGCUCCAGUUAAUUUUCUAUGGACUCAUUCCUGGAAGACCAACAUUUUUCAAUCUCUCACUUUUUAUGUGGUUCAAUGCAUCAUUGCACUGCUACAAUUGGAUCCUAAAGGCUUUUGAAAUUGCAUUAGCACCAGGUGGCACCUUUCACCUAUAUUUUGAUGCCUUUUUAUAUUUAUUAAUUCCGAAUAUGGAUCCACUAGAAGCCAAAACAUCUAUAGGUUAUGAAUUUUCCAAAAUUUGUAAUUUCAUUUAACAAAUGAAGAAUCUGAUUGCUAAAUGGAUAGUUUGCCAGUUAUUGUGCUCUUGGAAAUUAGAAUAUUUUGAUUUAUACAUCGGAAUGGUUUUAAAACAAAAUUACAGAACAAUUAGGCAGAGAUGUAGAAACCUAAUCAAUAUAUAAUGUUCUAAUAAACUUUUCAAGCUGGUUAUCAAAGUCUUUAGAUGUUAAUUUAGCUUGUAAAGUUGUUUGGUUAUUGCAUAAAGAUGUAGGUCUGAGUCCCACAUUCACUACAGAGUAAGGGAGUGGGGGCUAUGGGAAGGGCGAGAGCUAGCGCACAUAGUAUAGUCUGGCAGCUGGAUCAAGAAAAAAAUAAUAAAAUAAAAGCAGUCUUAGCAGAUAGAGAAGAUGGAAACUCACUCAGAAAGGGGGAAAAUACUUUGCCUUUUCUGUUCUCUGAUUUUUGCUUGACUAUAAAUAGGUAUCUUAAAUAAAAUAUUUUAACCUGCUUUUCAAAUGUAUAUUUAUUGUAUUUGUUUAGUGCCCUUUGUUAGGAAGAUUUCCUGUUCUUGGACCACUAUAAGAUUAAAGGUACAAAAAUAAACUUUUGAAGGUGGCUCAAUUUAUUUAUUUUUUACUCACUGCAAAGAAAUCUUGUCAGGAAACAAAUGGAUCUGAAGUUACGAAGCUUCUAUGUUAUUUUACUUUUAAAGUUAACUUAAUGGCAGAUUCUCUGAUCAUAUAUUUGAAAUUAAGGGAACUAAAAAGAAAGAGGGGGCUGGGGCAUUCCGAGAAUUGAACUCGGGACCUCUCGCACCCUAAGCGAGAAUCAUACCACUAGACCAAAUGCCCAAUUUUGAUGUUUAUCAUGUUUAGUAUUUAUCUUUUAGCAGUUUUCUAAGGAUUCGUGUUAACUUUCAAUGGACUAAUACUAAGUAAGCUGCCAUUAGUUUCUUCUCUUGCUUUUGAUGUGCUCCUGGUAUCAUAUCUUGUUAUAGUGAUUGUAGUGUUUUUCUUUUGAUGUAAUUCUGUUAUAAUUUCCCUGUUAGAGUUUGAUGCCAUCUGUACCUCUUAAAAUUGUAUUUAGACCUUGGAUUUCCUUUGAAUCUUUUUGUCUAACCAUAGUAAUGGUGUUGGUUUAUGCUUCUUAAUUUCGUUUUUGGGUCAAAUAUUAGACGAGUUAUGGAUUAUGAAUUUGUAUUUUUCUUUUGUUAGUGGUUAAUGGCUUGACUUAAUAGCUAGAUGGCUAGUGAGCUCUGUCACACACUUACCAUGCAUGCAUAGUACCAUAAAGUGUUGUAAAAGAUGAACUUACCGGGCAAUUAGGCAGUUGUGCAGAAAGUUUUUCAAGAAAUGCUGUUUUCUUUGUGGGCCUUGCAGGCCAAAUGCAAGAGAGAAAAAAGGGUAUGACUUUUUCCUAGUAUUUUAACCUGCUCCUCAAAUGUGUCUGUUCCAUGUGUAUGUGGUACCUUUUCUAUGACAGGCUAUGGCGGAUCUAGUGUUUCCUGAUGUAUGAGAUUACAAGUCAGUGGAUAGCUUGCCCAACUUGCAAAAAACUGAUUUGUUAUAUACAUUUAAGAACUCAUUGCUGACUGAUUUCAGAAAAUAAAUCAAGAUGAAAUCAAUAAAUUUUUAUAUUACACUUUCGAAGUUGACUUUUGGGUAGAUUCUUUUGAUCAAUAUUUCAAAUUGUAAGAUAGAACUAAAAAGAAACAAGGAGUUGGGGCAUUUCGGGAAUUGAUCUCGGGACCUCUCGCACCAAAGCAAGAAUCAUAUCAUUAGACUAAAUGCCCAAUCUUUGGUGUUUAACAGAAUUUGCUUUUAUUUAUUAGCUAUUUUCUUAAAGAUCCUGCUAAAUUUUGAUGUCUCUCUGCUAGCUUUUUAGCAAGUUGUUCUGCUGUUUGAAUGCUACGUUUGUACUUAAAGGAAUGGUUUAAGGAUGAGCUUAUUGGAUGAUUAGGCAGUUAGCAACUGAUCACGAAAUGUUGUGUCCUAAUAAUCUUUUAUUUGUGGGACUCUGCUAACUGAAUGCCAUUUCAUAAUUUUACUAAGAAUCCUGAAAUGAAUCCACCUUGACCCAGUUUUGCGCCUUUGCAGUGCUUCACCACUCUGUUUAGUACUGUAAUUGCGCAAAAAAGAAGAAAAUAAGGUUUUUUGUUGAUAAAGAACUGGACAUUAGGAUUUCUUAUUCACUAGUUUUUCUUGCCAUAAACAUUUUCUUCAUUAAGUAUUUAAGCCUGCUUCUCAAAUGUAGAUUCAUUACAUGCAUAUGCAAUGUCCUUUUUUGGCAGGUUUAAGACAGAUUUCUUUUAUCUGAAGACUUUGAGAUCACAGGUAUGAAGAAUAGCUUGCCGAAAUUUAAAAAGAUUACAUAUAGAUUAGUUGCUUAUUUGAUUUAUUUUUGCAACUCGUUUUGGAAAAUCUUGUCAGAAAAAAAUUACGUGAAAGAUGACUUCAUGCCAGAUUCCUCUUGCCUAAUGCUUCAAAUGGUAGAAGAAAAUAAAAAACAAGUACUAGGGGCAUUCCGAGAAUCAAACUUGGGACCUCUCGCACCCAAAGUUAGAAUCAUACCACUAGACCAAAUGCCCAAUUUUGUUGUCUAUAUUGUUUUGUUAUUAUUAUAAUAUCUAUUGGUCGUAAAUUUUCAAGAAAUGCUGCUUGCGUUUGUUUACUUAUUUAUGAAGUCUUUGAUCAGAACUAGAUUGUUUGUGAGUUUUUUUGCUAUUGGAAUAUAUAGUAAAGCGCUUAAGAAUUAUUCAUGGAUGAGCCUACUGGAUGAUUAGCAGUUUUGCUGGAGUUUUUCACCAAAUAACCUUUUCUCUACAAGGCUCUGAAGGAUGAAUACUAAAGUCUUCUAUUUGCAAUAGGGAUGCUGACUACUUUAGCUGCAAAGUCAUUCUGUAAUUUCAUUGAGCUAGGUUUAAAUCCUUUUCUGACCCUUGGUUGAAGGCAUGUUGGUGCAAGAGAAGAGGCUAAAUGGAGGAGGCCCAUACCACGGAUUGUAGCUGGAUUAUUGGUCUGAAUGACAAAUAGACAUACCUCUUACUCAAAGGAAGAAAAUAGGCACAUUUCUUUUCUGUUGGCCUUUUGUUUUGUCUUAUUGGCUAAAUUGGUUGUUGUUGGUUAACUGUUUAUUCCUUUAUUUUCACAGGGUUAAGGCAGAUUUUCAUUUUCUAAGUCUGUGACUCCAGGUUAUGGGAGAUCUAAUGUUUCCUGAUGCUACAAGAUUACAGGUCAGUGGAUAGCUUGCCCAACUUGCAAACAACACAUUUAUUAUAUACAUUUAUCGACUUAUUGCAUACUGAUGUCAGAAAAGAAAUCAAGAUGAAGUCGAUGAAUUUUUAUAAAUUUCGAAGUUGACUCCUGGCAUGAUUCUUUUGAUCAAUAUUUUCAAAUUGUAAGAUAGAACAAAAAAGAAACAUGAGUUUGGGGGCAUUCCGAGGAUGGAAUUUGGGACCUCCACGGCUUUUUUUCUUCGUUUUAUCGAUUUUCUGUACAAUUUUAUAAUCAACAAUCGUACUAAAAUAAUCAAAAGCUUAAAGAAAAAAAGGGUUUUCCAAAGCUGUUCCCCGUCUUUGUGCAUUCACAAAUGAUAAUUCAAAUGUUUCCUUUGUCUAAAUUGGUUCGAUUAGUUUAAAUUGUUUUGAACACGAUAGAUGCAAUGUAAAUAAUUAGGCUUAAAAUUUAUUUAAAAAUUGGGCUAUAAUAAUUUUUAAUAACAUUGUUUUCUGAAAUAAUUUUUAAUAACAUUUGUAUCAAGCAAGAAAUAUCAGUUGCAUAACCUUUUUGUUUCUUUGUACUGGCAAGGAUCAAUUCAUGAAAGAAAUUAGAGCAAAAAGUGUUCCCCUCGGUCCCAAGUUCUUCAUUUCCUCCUUUUUCUAUGGUCACCAUGAUAUGCUCUGCACUCUUGCUGUUACAUAACAUAGACAGCAAUGAUACUAACAUAAAAUAGUAUAUCUCAGGCUGAGAUUGUAUUGGAAAUUGGGAAGGCACAACCAACACUCCCAUUUUAAAAUAUUUAAAUGGUUUUAUCAAAUAAAAUUUUUACAUUGAUGUUGAUUGAGUAGGGUUGAAGGUGAUUUUCUUUAUUCAUGAUCAGAAGUGAUUAAUCACCACACCGUAAAAGCCAGACCAUUCAAGUUUGUAUGAUGAGUAUCCCAUCUUAUAACCAAAUAAAAGAAAAGAUUUAUGUAUGUAACAGAUCACUUCCUGGAUCAUGGAAUGAUGUGAUGCUGGGCCAAUUCAUGAACACCCUUAACUGCCAUUAAUCCUGAGAAAAAAAAAACUUUAUAAAAGCAGUAAUUAAAUUAAAUAUAAAGAAAGGAAGAAAGUAAAAGAAACCAACCAGGAAUCCAGCUUAUCUUUUCAUGAUUAAAUUCUUGUACAUAACCUUAGGCUCCACCACCUUUGAUCAAAAAGGAAGGUAAAAAGAAAGCAAACUGCCUUGUUGAUCUACCUAAAAGUAUCAUCAACAAAAGUUUCCAACUCCCUUUUUUACUUUAAUCGAUUUGAUUACUUCAACAUGCAACUUCAUAAGCAUAUGACCUUGACCCAAAAUUUACACUUUGGGUUGGAACCCAAGUUGGCAUCUUUGGUUUAGAUUGUUUUUAUCUUAAAUUUCAUUUCAAUCUC